CAGCAGUCGCCGCGGUAAUACAGAGGGUGCGAGCGUUAAUCGGAUUUACUGGGCGUAAAGCGUGCGUAGGCGGCUUUUUAAGUCGGAUGUGAAAUCCCUGAGCUUAACUUAGGAAUUGCAUUUGAUACUGGGAAGCUAGAGUAUGGGAGAGGAUGGUAGAAUUCCAGGUGUAGCGGUGAAAUGCGUAGAGAUCUGGAGGAAUACCGAUGGCGAAGGCAGCCAUCUGGCCUAAUACUGACGCUGAGGUACGAAAGCAUGGGGAGCAAACAGGAUUAGAUACCCGCGUAGUCCCUGUCUCUUAUCC
rnacentral:rRNA from 1 species